GUAGGAGGCAAGCGUUGUCCGGAAUUAUUGGGCGUAAAGCGCGCGCAGGCGGUUCUUUAAGUCUGAUGUGAAAGCCCACGGCUCAACCGUGGAGGGUCAUUGGAAACUGGAGAACUUGAGUACAGAAGAGGAAAGCGGAAUUCCACGUGUAGCGGUGAAAUGCGUAGAGAUGUGGAGGAACACCAGUGGCGAAGGCGGCUUUCUGGUCUGUAACUGACGCUGAGGCGCGAAAGCGUGGGGAGCAAACAGGGAUUAGAUACCCUGGUAGUCCACGCCGUAAACGAUGAGUGCUAAGUGUUACGGGGGUUUCCGCCCCCGUUAGUGCUGCAGCUAACGCAUUAAGCACUCCGCCUGGGGAUACGGCCGCAAGGCUG
rnacentral:rRNA from 1 species